GUGAGGCGGCCAUGUUUACAGGCCGUCACUCUUUGGUUUGAUGGUUUCACGUCUCCGGAAACAAACCAGAUCCUGAGCGAAUCAGGCGGCUGACGGGAGGCGGAGCCCCCACGUGGGCGGAGCCUGGUUUUUACACAUGACAUGACAUUUUCUUUUGGGGAGGGUUAGGCCUCAGAACAGAACUUUUCCCGCCUCCAACAGGGAUUACGUUUUGUCUAAUCUGAGACGUGUAUCAGGAAAAGAAAGAUGCAUUUUAAGCGCUAAUGAUGACAUCAGGUCAUGUGACCCAAAGCAUGAGCUAGUUUUCUGUAAAGUUUGACAAUAAAGUGAUCUUUUCAUUUCUGCCAUCAGCUGAUCUGGAAGGAUCCUUCAUGGAUUUAUGGAAAACAUUUGAAUAUUUUCUAACCAUUUCUUUCUUUUUGCUGCAGCAUCCGAAGAUCAAUAACUCCUCUGUUUCUCCUCAGAACCUCAGGUGAGGAUGAUGAGGAUGCUGUCCCGCUCUGCAUCCCUGUUGGCACGGUGACUCACUGCCCCCCCGUCAGAUGACAUCACACAGCUGGAAAUAGCAUCAGCUUAAUGGGAGCCUGCAGAGGCCUGCAGCCCAGGGUAGCUGGAGGGAGGGCCUAGGGCAUGAAGGCCGAUGCUGUGAGAGCAAAUAUCCCAGCUUUUACUUUAAUCUAAAAAGAGGUUUUUAACAUUUUGGUUCUCAGAGAACCUCCAGAGUUUUCCAUCGGCUCGCCUGCAGAGAAAGCAGCCACUGGAGGCUCAUUCUGACUCUCAGAGCUUAGGGGGAGGAGCCACCUGCUGCUAUGGCACCGCCCCCUCCUUUGCAUCAUUUCAAUGAUGUCUGUUUUUCUGGUCAAAACAGAUAGAUUCUUCUAAAGCUGGAGUUCCGGCCCGGUCCAGCACCUCGUCAAAGCAGACCCUGGAACACGUCCGGCUGCUUCCAGCCGCCAUGGCAACGAGUGUCCAGAGAAGAAGUGUCGUCAGGAUGUUCUCCAGCAGAUGAUUCAUCCGUCACUGGCUGCAGGAACCGUUCAGACUGGAACGUGAGGUUCUGUCAUGAAGGUUCUGGAGGUCCAGAACCCUUCAGUCUUUUCCACCGUCCCCCUGUUUAGAUGAUCAGUUUACCUGGAAGUCUGACCUGUCAGCUGCUGCAGUGGAACAGAUGUCGUCGCUCCAUGAAAAUGUUAAGGACACGACGAGGCAGCCGCUGCUUCACAGCGCCCGUAAGGCAGCGUUUGGGCAGGAGCCCUGACGCAGAACUGCCAAGGUCUUCCUCACCAUGGUCUCCAUGACGGCGUUCCGGCCGACUUUCUACCAAACGUCAUGCAGAUGACGCUCUUUUCUGCUCUUCUGCCGAGUGGAAAGCAGCAGGUUUAGUGACUUAAGAAGGUUUCAUUGUUUGGUUGAAGGAAUGUUCAUUUUCUAGCACAGUAGAGAUAAACUGACCUGUUUGAAAAAGCUUAACCCUUGUUCUAUCCUAGGCACUUUGACAUUGGCAGU